rnacentral:rRNA from 1 species
GACGAACCGUGCGAACGUUGUUCGGAAUCACUGGGCUUAAAGGGCGCGUAGGCGGGCGGUCAAGUCAGAGGUGAAAUCCCACGGCUCAACCGUGGAAGUGCCCCUGAUACUGGCCGUCUCGAGGGAGGUAGGGGCGUGCGGAACUUCCGGUGGAGCGGUGAAAUGCGUAGAUAUCGGAAGGAACACCGAUGGCGAAAGCAGCGCGCUGGACCUCUACUGACGCUGAGGCGCGAAAGCCAGGGGAGCAAACGGG